rnacentral:rRNA from 1 species
CAGCAGCCGCGGGAAUACGAGGGGGGCAAGCGUUGUUCGGAAUUAUUGGGCGUAAAGGGUGCGUAGGCGGUUCAGCAAGUCUCGUGUGAAAUCUUCGGGCUCAACCCGAAGUCUGCACGGGAAACUACUGGGCUUGAGUAAUGGAGAGGUGAGUGGAAUUUCCGGUGUAGCGGUGAAAUGCGUAGAUAUCGGAAGGAACACCUGUGGCGAAAGCGGCUCACUGGACAUUUACUGACGCUGAUGCACGAAAGCUAGGGGAGCAAACAGGAUUAGAUACCCCCGUAGUCCCUGUCUCUUAUAC